rnacentral:rRNA from 1 species
CCUACGGGCGGCAGCAGUGAGGAAUAUUGGUCAAUGGUCGGGAGACUGAACCAGCCAAGCCGCGUGCGGGAGGAAGGUACAGAGUAUCGUAAACCUCUUUUGUCAGUGAACAAAGGCGGGGACGUGUCCCCGGAUGAGUGUACCUGAAGAAAAAGCAUCGGCUAACUCCGUGCCAGCAGCCGCGGUAAUACGGAGGAUGCGAUCGUUAUCCGGAUUGAUUGGGUUUAAGGGGUGCGAAGGCGGUCUGUUAAGUCAGCGGUAAACGCCCGGGGCUCAACCCCGGACCGCCGUUGAAACUGGCAGUCUCGAGUGGGAGAGAAGUAUGCGGAAUGCGCGGUGUAGCGGUGAAAUGCAUAGAUAUCGCGCAGAACUCCGAUUGCGAAGGCAGCAUGCCGGCUCCACACUGACGCUGAGGCACGAAAGCGUGGGUAUCGAACAGGAUUAGAUACCCGUGUAGUC